rnacentral:lncRNA from 1 species
GAGGAGUGAAACAUGACUGAGAUUCUGAGUCCCGUGCGCUGAGCCUAUGCUCCCCAAUACUUUGUGAGUGUGUGUGUGUGUGUGUUUGUAUGUGUGUGUGUGUGUAUGAGACAUGUGACACUAGCUUGUACUUAGGAGCAGGGAGCGUGAAGUCACACUCUGAGUGUGGUGUGACUUUCCACAGCUAGAAGUGGAAUGAGGAAGGACAGACGAUGGCAGACUCAGGGACCUGGCCCACUGGCACAGGCCUGCUGCCCCAGACCAGCUCUGCCCACUUCCUCCCCGCUUGCUCACGUGGUCGUGGGGCUGACCGAGGCCUGGCUCAGACGCAGCAGCCUGAGGGCACCAGGGAGGCCCGGCUGCAGCAGGGGCGGUGGGGUCUGUCCUCUCCCACCCUCAUCUCAGCAUCAGGAAAAUCUGUUCACUGUAGACUGGAGGGACUAGGGGCUGGAGACGGGGGAGAGCCAUGAAAACAGCUCCUUCCUUAAAAGAAAGGGUGGACAAAUCACUCCAUCGUUACUCUUCGUGUCUAGGGAGACAGAGAGAUGGAAAGAGAGACCAGGGCUCAUCUCCAGCUACUGACUCAGCGGUCUGACUGUCAGCAGUCAGAGAAGCCAAGGGGGAUGGUAUGAUUCUGGUACUGUCUGCCCAAACCCCACUGCAAGCCCCAUCUCUGCCCUUGCCAGUCACAGAUGGAGCCCUGCCCAGCCCCUCCCAGAUGUCGUCAUGGUACAUCAGGAGAGACCAGAUAACCUGCCUGAGGUGCAAGAAAUUCCAGGCCAAGAUGCCACACAGUGUGGAUCACCAUGACGAAGCCAGCGAGGCGGAGAUGAGGAGAACCUCAAACUCGUACAUCGUGGAGAACGGGCACCAGCCUGGGGCAGGGAAUGUUGGAGCAGGCAUC